rnacentral:rRNA from 1 species
UACGGAGGGUGCGAGCGUUAAUCGGAAUUACUGGGCGUAAAGCGCACGCAGGCGGUUUGUUAAACUAGAUGUGAAAGCCCCGGGCUCAACCUGGGAUGGUCAUUUAGAACUGGCAGACUAGAGUCUUGGAGAGGGGAGUGGAAUUCCAGGUGUAGCGGUGAAAUGCGUAGAUAUCUGGAGGAACAUCAGUGGCGAAGGCGACUCCCUGGCCAAAGACUGACGCUCAUGUGCGAAAGUGUGGGUAGCGAACAGG